UCUGCCUACUACGGCGACGCAUAACUUCGGACCUUCGACAGUAAAGCUCCCACCUCAUAGAUUCGCACGACCGUCAUAUAACUACGGUCAUGUUGUGAAUCGGAGGACAAGCUGAAGUUCCAAAGGAACGACAGGCGACGGAAGAGACAUCUGCCGUAUCGAUCCAAGUUCAAGAACGCCUAACCAACACAGUUCUCUGACAAUCAAAAAUGCCCAGAAACACAGAAGAACAACAACUGAUAAUGCCUUUAUGAGUGCGUGGGUCGUGGUAAGUCGAUUACGAAAGCAAAAUACAUGCAAGAGUUACAGUCGCUUAAGGAAGUUCGCAGGAAUAAACGCGAAGUGCAUUCCGGCUGUAAGAGAAACGAAAACAAACUGAGAGCUAAGAAAAAAGGAAAAUGGUGUAGAGGGCGCUGAAACACGGCGUAAGAGGAAGUGGACUUGGAAUUUUAAUCGCAGUUACGGGGGCGGCUGACUUGGCAAACAGUUAAACAAUUAUCUUACAGGCCGCAUGGGUUAAGGAACAGAGGACGAAUGCUUCGAGAACGGGCCAUCAC